GUCUGACUGUGUGGGCCACUGGCAGUAGCUAUUAAGCCUGAUGAUUAGAGGUAUUUUAUGGGAUGUCACCAUGACAGGUGGAAACCUUAAUUUAUUUUAAACAUAGAGUGUACAAAUUAAGAAUGCACUUUAUCCAGCCCCUCUUCAGCUGAGCCAUUAGUAAGACAUGCCUGGCCAUCAAUAUGCACCCUUACUAUUCCUGUACAGUCCAUGCCCUUAUCGAAAUGGGAAAUGCCUAAAUCUUAGAUAUGAC